AUUGAACGCUGGCGGCAGGCUUAACACAUGCAAGUCGAACGAGUGGCGGACGGGUGAGUAAUGUCUGGGAAACUGCCCGAUGGAGGGGGAUAACUACUGGAAACGGUAGCUAAUACCGCAUACCAUCGGAUGUGCCCAGAUGGGAUUAGCUAGUAGGUGGGGUAACGUCUCACCUAGGCGACGAUCCCUAGCUGGUCUGAGAGGAUGAUCAGCCCAACUGUGACUGAGACACGGCCCAGACUCCGACGGGAGGCAGCAGUGGGGAAUAUUGCACAAUGGGCGCAAGCCUGAUGCAGCCAUGCCGCGUGAAUGAAGAAGGCCUUCGGGUUGUAAAGUUCUUUCGGUAGCGAGGCGUUAACUACAGAAGAAGCACCGGCUAACUCCGUGCCAGCAGCCGCGGUAAUUC
rnacentral:rRNA from 1 species